rnacentral:rRNA from 1 species
CUACGGGGUGCACCAGUGAGGAAUUUUGCGCAAUGGGGGAAACCCUGACGCAGCAACGCCGCGUGAGCGAAGAAGGCCCUCGGGUCGUAAAGCUCUGUCAAGUGGGAAAAAAAUCUUUUGAUCAAUAGUCAAAAGACUUGAUGGUACCACUGGAGGAAGCACCGGCUAACUCCGUGCCGGCGGCCGCGGUAAUACGGAGGGUGCAAGCGUUGUUCGGAAUUACUGGGCGUAAAGAGCGUGUAGGCGGUUUGGCAAGUCAGAUGUGAAAGCCCUGGGCGCAACCCGGGAAGUGCAUUUGAAACUGCUUCACUAGAGUAGGGGAGAGGAGAUUGGAAUUCCUGGUGUAGAGGUGAAAUUCGUAGAUAUCAGGAGGAACACCCGUGGCGAAGGCGAUUCUCUGGACCAAUACUGACGCUGAGACGCGAAAGCGUGGGGAGCAAACAGGAUUAGAUACCCUAGUAGUC